AGAACGAACGCUGGCGGCAGGCCUAACACAUGCAAGUCGAACGCCCCGCAAGGGGAGUGGCAGACGGGUGAGUAACGCGUGGGAAUCUACCUUGUGGUACGGAACAACCAAGGGAAACUUUGGCUAAUACCGUAUGAGCCCGAGAGGGGAAAGAUUUAUCGCCAUAAGAUGAGCCCGCGUAGGAUUAGCUAGUUGGUGAGGUAAUGGCUCACCAAGGCGACGAUCCUUAGCUGGUCUGAGAGGAUGACCAGCCACACUGGGACUGAGACACGGCCCAGACUCCUACGGGAGGCAGCAGUGGGGAAUAUUGGACAAUGGGCGCAAGCCUGAUCCAGCCAUGCCGCGUGUGUGAUGAAGGCCUUAGGGUUGUAAAGCACUUUCGCCGAUGAAGAUAAUGACGGUAGUCGGAGAAGAAGCCCCGGCUAACGUUCGUGCCAGCAGCCGC
rnacentral:rRNA from 1 species